rnacentral:rRNA from 1 species
GGUUAAGUUAAUAAGGGCGCACGGUGGAUGCCUUGGCACUAGGAGCCGAAGAAGGACGUGACAAACGACGAUAUGCCUUGGGUAGCUGUAAGUAAGCGAUGAUCCAGGGAUUUCCGAAUGGGGGAACCCAACAGGUACUACCUGUUACCCAUAUCUGUUAAGGAUAUGAGGAGGAAGACGCAGUGAACUGAAACAUCUAAGUAGCUGCAGGAAGAGAAAGCAAAAGCGAUUGCCUUAGUAGCGGCGAGCGAAACGGCAGGAGGGCAAACCGAAGAGUUUACUCUUCGGGGUUGUAGGACUGCAAUGUGGACUCAAAGACUAUAGAAGAAUGACAUGGGAAGGUCAGCCAAAGAGAGUGAGAGCCUCGUAUUUAAAAUAGUCUUUGUACCUAGCAGUAUCCUGAGUACGGCGAGACACGUGAAAUCUCGUCGGAAUCUGGGAGGACCAUCUCCCAACCCUAAAUACUCCCUAGUGACCGAUAGUGAACCAGUACCGUGAGGGAAAGGUGAAAAGCACCCCGGGAGGGGAGUGAAAUAGAACCUGAAACCGUGUGCCUACAACAAGUUCGAGCCCGUUAAUGGGUGAGAGCGUGCCUUUUGUAGAAUGAACCGGCGAGUUACGAUAUGAUGCGAGGUUAAGUUGAAGAGACGGAGCCGUAGGGAAACCGAGUCUGAAUAGGGCGCUUUAGUAUUAUGUCGUAGACCCGAAACCAUGUGACCUACCCAUGAGCAGGUUGAAGGUGCGGUAAGACGCACUGGAGGACCGAACCAGGGCACGUUGAAAAGUGCUUGGAUGACUUGUGGGUAGCGGAGAAAUUCCAAACGAACUUGGAGAUAGCUGGUUCUCUCCGAAAUAGCUUUAGGGCUAGCGUCGACAUCAAGAUUCUUGGAGGUAGAGCACUGUUUGGGUGAGGGGUCCAUCCCGGAUUACCAAUCUCAGAUAAACUCCGAAUGCCAAUGAAUUAUGGUCGGCAGUCAGACUGCGAGUGCUAAGAUCCGUAGUCGAAAGGGAAACAGCCCAGACCACCAGCUAAGGUCCCAAAAUAAUUGUUAAGUGGAAAAGGAUGUGGGGUUGCACAGACAACUAGGAUGUUAGCUUAGAAGCAGCUAUUCAUUCAAAGAGUGCGUAAUAGCUCACUAGUCGAGUGACCCUGCGCCGAAAAUGUACCGGGGCUAAAACAAUUUACCGAAGCUGUGGAUACCUUUAUAGGUAUGGUAGGAGAGCGUUCUAUGUGUGGAGAAGGUGUACCGUGAGGAGCGCUGGAACGCAUAGAAGUGAGAAUGCCGGUAUGAGUAGCGAAAGACAGGUGAGAAUCCUGUCCACCGUAAGACUAAGGUUUCCAGGGGAAGGCUCGUCCGCCCUGGGUUAGUCGGGACCUAAGGAGAGACCGAAAGGUGUAUCCGAUGGACAACAGGUUGAUAUUCCUGUACUAGAGUAUGUAGUGAUGGAGGGACGCAGUAGGCUAACUAAAGCAGACGAUUGGAAGUGUCUGUCUAAGCAGUGAGGUGUGAAUUGAGUUAAAUGCUUAAUUCUAUAACAUUGAGCUGUGAUGGGGAGCGAAGUUUAGUAGCGAAGUUAGUGACGUCACACUGCCAAGAAAAGCUUCUAGCGUUUAAACAUACUCUACCCGUACCGCAAACCGACACAGGUAGUCGAGGCGAGUAGCCUCAGGUGAGCGAGAGAACUCUCGUUAAGGAACUCGGCAAAAUGACCCCGUAACUUCGGGAGAAGGGGUGCUGACUUUACGUCAGCCGCAGUGAAUAGGCCCAAGCAACUGUUUAUCAAAAACACAGCUCUCUGCUAAAUCGUAAGAUGAUGUAUAGGGGGUGACGCCUGCCCGGUGCUGGAAGGUUAAGAGGAGUGCUUAGGAGUAAUCCGAAGGUAUGAAUUGAAGCCCCAGUAAACGGCGGCCGUAACUAUAACGGUCCUAAGGUAGCGAAAUUCCUUGUCGGGUAAGUUCCG